GUACACUAAAUUACUGGUAAUCAGACAUGGGUUAUAUGCAGUAAUUUGACUGGCUGUUAAGCUUUAUUUUGGCUGAACAUAAUUGGUUGUGUCCAAGAUGUGGUGGAGAGAGCAAGUUUAAAAGGGGAGAAACAUUUUAGAAGUUCUAACAGGCACUUAAACAUCAAUCGGUAUUGUUCCUCUCCAGACUAACACGACAACAGAGAAAGACAAAAUGAACGUCAUUCUCCUGACUCCCAUCAUCUUCAUUCUAGCCCCUGUUGCUAGCGUGACCUUUCCCUCAAGGCCAUGUCAGGGGAGAAGUGAGAUAGACAAAUACAAUGAAUUCAUCAAGAAACACAUCCUUCCACCUAACUUUGACACAAAUUCUCCAGAGGAAUGGGGAAAAUACUUAAUGAGGUUAGGACUCUGUGGCAGAGUUCCUGUGCAGUCCUUCAUCAACAACGACAAUAAGGGAAAAGUCGUGGAGAUCUGUAGUGACGCUGGCCGGCUCUUGCGAGAUAACUUGUGCAUCAGCAAGUCAACAAUGUUGGUAUAUCAUGUCACAUCCACACAGGGUUGCGAAGUUGAAGCUAGCGAUAUAACAAAACUCAAUCAAAAUGUGAUUGUGGCAUGUAAUAUGAUUGAAAAUCAGUGCCUCCCUGUCCAUUAUCAGAAAUACAACAAUGAAAGACCAGGCAAUAUAGCCUGCACCUAAACUUUCUGUCAAGCUUUGCUAAAUGAAUAAUUUGUGCUCACGAAAAUGAGAAUCUUGAGCUACAUAUAUUUUGUAAAUCACAUGUUAUAGAUACUACAGUGUGUUGUAUCAAGCAAGGUGAAAUGAAUAGAGCUGAUGUUUGGGAAGUUUUUAAAACAUUUUCUCUGUUUUCUUUUUCAUGGUGUUGGUAAA